rnacentral:lncRNA from 1 species
UGUAGGGCCUUCAUGAUUUCCUUGAUUACAAUGGAAACAUAUGAUUCGAUUUAACCUUUCAGAGAAGACAUUCCAACUUGCAUGAUCUCAUCAAUGUGGAGAAUAUUGGUGGCCAUCACAGGUCAGGAGUGAAGCAGCUCUUCCUUUACACGGUUGCUCACAAUGUAUCGGGAGGGAGCUUCCCAUGCGCACUGGUAAUGUUUGAGAACUGUUUUUGGAGUCAAGAAAGAAGAAUUUGGGGAUUCAGAGGCCAAGGAGGGCCCACCAUGGACUGAGACUUGAGGUCCCACAUGGUACAGACUUUGGGGGCCAAGAAACAAGAAAGGGACAUGGUCAUGAAGACUUCUCAUUGAGCGAGUGGCCAGAAGCAUCUCAGUGGUCAAGUAGAGCAAAGGUAGGUUCU